AGGGCAUUCGGUGGAUGCCUUGGCACCAGGAGGCGAUGAAGGACGUGGCACGCUGCGAAAAGCCACGGGGAGCCGCGAGCAGGCGUUGAUCCGUGGAUAUCCGAAUGGGGCAACCCACCCCGCGAGGGGUAUCAUUCUCUGAAUUCAUAGGAGGGUGAGGCGAACCCGGGGAACUGAAACAUCUCAGUACCCGGAGGAAAAGACAUCAACAGAGAUUCCGCGAGUAGUGGCGAGCGAAAGCGGAGCAGGCCAGUGGUCGAUCGAUAAGAAGCAGAACGGUCUGGAAAGGCCGGCCAGAGCGGGUGAUAGCCCCGUAUGCGUAGAAAAUCGGUCGAUCCUUGAGUAGGGCGGGACACGUGUAAUCCUGUCUGAACAUGGGGGGACCACCCUCCAAGCCUAAAUACUCCCUGGUGACCGAUAGUGAACAAGUACCGUGAGGGAAAGGUGAAAAGCACCCCGACGAGGGGAGUGAAAUAGACCUGAAACCGAAUGCCUACAAGCAGUCGGAGCGGCCGAUAUCCGCAAGGAUGGGUGCCGUGACGGCGUACCUUUUGUAUAAUGGGUCAGCGAGUUUCUGUUCGCGGCAAGCUUAAGCCGAUAGGUGGAGGCGCAGCGAAAGCGAGUCUGAACAGGGCGUUCAGUCGCGGGCAGAAGACCCGAAACCGAGUGAUCUAGCCAUGGCCAGGCUGAAGGUGGGGUAACACCCACUGGAGGGCCGAACCCACGCCUGUUGAAAAAGUCGGGGAUGAGCUGUGGCUAGGGGUGAAAGGCCAAUCAAACUCGGAGAUAGCUGGUUCUCCGCGAAAUCUAUUUAGGUAGAUCGUCGUGUGUUUACCCUCGGGGGUAGAGCACUGGAUGGGCUAGGGGGCCCCAAAGGCUUACCAAACCUAACCAAACUCCGAAUACCGAGGCGUAUAGCGCGGCAGACAGUCCAUGGGUGCUAAGGUCCGUGGACGAGAGGGAAACAGCCCAGACCGCCAGCUAAGGUCCCCAAAUCGUGGCUAAGUGGGAAAGGAUGUGGGAAUUCCAAAACAACCAGGAGGUUGGCUUAGAAGCAGCCAUCCUUUAAAGAAAGCGUAAUAGCUCACUGGUCUAUUAGAAAUCCUGCGCCGAAAAUGUAACGGGGCUCAAGCCACGUACCGAAGCUGCGGGUGUAUCGCAAGAUACGCGGUAGCGGAGCGUUCCGUAAGCCUGCGAAGGGAGUGGGGUGACCCCUCCUGGAGGUAUCGGAAGUGCGAAUGCUGACAUGAGUAGCGACAAACAGAGUGAGAAACUCUGUCGCCGAAAGUCCAAGGGUUCCUGCGCAAGGUUAAUCCGCGCAGGGUGAGCCGGCCCCUAAGGCGAGGGCGAAAGCCGUAGUCGAUGGGAACGGGGUCAAUAUUCCCCGGCCUGCUGGAAGUGACGAACGUGAAAUCUUGUCCGGGCUUACUGGAUUGUCCGGGCUUGUGGAUCGUUCCAGGAAACAGCUCCAGCGUAUAGACCGUACCCGAAACCGACACAGGUGGACUGGUAGAGUAUACCAAGGCGCUUGAGAGAACGAUGUCGAAGGAACUAGGCAAAUUGCCCGCGUAACUUCGGAAUAAGCGGGACCCUUUUCUGGGCAACCAGAAGGGGGUGGCACAGAGCAGGGGGUAGCGACUGUUUAUUAAAAACACAGGGCUCUGCGAAGUCGAGAGACGACGUAUAGGGUCUGACGCCUGCCCGGUGCCGGAAGGUUAAGGGGAGGAGUGCAAGCUCCGAACCGAAGCCCCGGUAAACGGCGGCCGUAACUAUAACGGUCCUAAGGUAGCGAAAUUCCUUGUCGGGUAAGUUCCGACCUGCACGAAUGGCGUAACGACUUCCCCACUGUCUCCGGCAUCGGCUCAGCGAAAUUGAAUUCCCCGUGAAGAUGCGGGGUACCCGCGGUCAGACGGAAAGACCCUAUGAACCUUUACUGCAGCUUUGCAGUGGCAUCAGGGGAGCACUGUGUAGGAUAGGUGGGAGGCGAUGAAACCGGGGCGCUAGCUUCGGCGGAGCCAUCCUUGAAAUACCACCCUGGGCGCUUCUGAUGUCUAACCGAGGCCGGUCAUCCCGGUCCGGGACCCUGCAUGGUGGGCAGUUUGACUGGGGCGGUCGCCUCCCAAAAUGUAACGGAGGCGCGCGAUGGUGGGCUCAAGCCGGUCGGACAUCGGCUGUUGAGUGCAAUGGCAUAAGCCCGCCUGACUGCGAGAGUGACAGCUCGAGCAGAGACGAAAGUCGGCCAUAGUGAUCCGGUGGUCCCGCGUGGAAGGGCCAUCGCUCAACGGAUAAAAGGUACUCUAGGGAUAACAGGCUGAUCUCCCCCAAGAGUCCACAUCGACGGGGAGGUUUGGCACCUCGAUGUCGGCUCAUCACAUCCUGGGGCUGGAGCAGGUCCCAAGGGUUCGGCUGUUCGCCGAUUAAAGUGGUACGUGAGCUGGGUUUAGAACGUCGUGAGACAGUUCGGUCCCUAUCUGCCGUGGGUGUUGGAGACUUGAGAGGAUCUGUCCCUAGUACGAGAGGACCGGGAUGGACGCACCUCUGGUGUACCGGUUGUCGCGCCAGCGGCACCGCCGGGUAGCUAUGUGCGGACGGGAUAACCGCUGAAAGCAUCUAAGCGGGAAACCCACCUCAAAACGAGGUCUCCCUGAGGGCCGUGAUAGACCAUCACGUUGAUAGGCCGGGUGUGGACGUACGGUAACGUGCGCAGCUAACCGGUCCUAAUCGCCCGAUUGAGCUCA
rnacentral:rRNA from 1 species